UGUUCAAGACAAACUGGCAAUUUAAAGGCCUCUUUGAAAGCAGAAAAUGUGUAAGGCAAGGUUUGUAUGUUUCCACCUGGGUGUUUUUCAAAAGUGAUGCUGGGCAGCAUGUGUCAUUAAUAAUGAUUUACUUCUUAUUUGGUUACUCAGGCUGCAGUUAGAGUCUGUGCAUAGUGCUUUCCAGGACAAAGACAAGAAUAAAGCUGUGAUGCCCAUCCUUCUAAGUUAGAGACCUCAGAUAUUUUCUUUCUCAAACAGGAGAGUGAGUGUCAGUCCUGGGACAGGAGGAGGCUGCAGCUGGGAGUGACUCCUUUGAACAUGGAGAUGUGCUAAGAAGAUCAUUCCUCCACACUCUACAGAAGUUUCGCUGCCCUGGGGAAGUCAGGACCAGAGCAGCUGGACUGGCAGCAGGCAAUGGGAGAUGGCAGCAGAUACGAGCAACCAACAGAAAAGUGCAAGUCUGUGUGUUUGUGAAAUUAGAAUUCCAUCAACUACAUAUGGGCAAAGCAGCAGGUGGAGGAAGGGAAGCUGUAAGAGAGCAAUACAGCAGAUGUGUUUUGGACUAAAUUUGAAGAAAGUCCUCCUGGAACUGGACAUGAAGAGCUCCUGUUACACCGCUGCACUGCCAUCUUCAUGAAAAGCCCCAAGAAUGGUCACACUCUACCUGGCAAGAAGUGAUGAGAAGCAGAUUGCCUGUAGGGCUUCUGCAAAAGGGAACUAACAUGCUCAAGCUGGGAAUCAAGGCAGGAGACAAGACAGCAUUGCUAUCCCCUCUCCUCACAGCCAGGCAGGUUUACCUUGGACAUGCACUCUGUUUUCACAUAGGCCCCACUUCAGCCCAUUGUUGGUCUGCAAACAAAUGCUUGUUGAGGUACUUUUUCUUUCUGGGAAUAAUUAGAAAGAAGGCUAGCUUUGGUCUGUGAAAAUGCAGCAUUUUUCUUUGGACUGACAGACUCACUCAAGACUAUGAAGAGCCAGAAAGCCCUUUGUCUGUGAGGU